rnacentral:rRNA from 1 species
GACGAACGCUGGCGGCGUGCUUAACACAUGCAAGUCGAACGGGAGUAUUGAAGAAGCUUGCUUUAGAGAUACUUUAGUGGCGGACGGGUGAGUAACGCGUGAGGAGCUGUCCGAUGCAGGGGGACAACGGUUGGAAACGACUGCUAAUACCCCAUAAGCCGAGAGGUAAAAGGAUUUAUCCGGCAAUGGAGGUACUCGCGUCCUAUCAGCUAGUAGGUGAGGUAACGGCUCACCUAGGCGAAGACGGGUAGCCGGCCUGAGAGGGCGAACGGCCACACGGGAACUGAGAUACGGUCCAGACUCCUACGGGAGGCAGCAGUGGGGAAUAUUGGGCAAUGGGGGGAACCCUGACCCAGCGACGCCGCGUGGGUGAAGAAAUCCUUCGGGAUGUAAAGCCCUGUUGUAUGGGAAGAGCGGAAGACGGUACCAUACGAGGAAGCCCCGGCAAACUACGUGCCAGCAGCCGCCGUAA